UGCCAGACUCCUACGGGAGGCAGCAGUGGGGGAUAUUGCACAAUGGGGGAAACCCUGAUGCAGCGAUGCCGCGUGAAUGAAGACGGCCUUCGGGUUGUAAAGUUCUGUCGCAGGGGACGAAAAUGACGGUACCCUGCAAGAAAGCUCCGGCUAACUACGUGCCAGCAGCCGCGGUAAUACGUAGGGAGCAAGCGUUGUCCGGAAUUACUGGGUGUAAAGGGAGCGUAGGCGGGAAUGCAAGUUGAAUGUUUAAACUAUGGGCUCAACCCAUAGCCGCGUUCAAAACUGCAUUUCUUGAGUGGAGUAGAGGCAGGCGGAAUUCCUAGUGUAGCGGUGAAAUGCGUAGAUAUUAGGAGGAACACCAGUGGCGAAGGCGGCCUGCUGGGCUCUAACUGACGCUGAGGCUCGAAAGCGUGGGUAGCAAACAGGAUUAGAUACCCGAGUAGC
rnacentral:rRNA from 1 species